UACGGAGGGGGCUAGCGUUGUUCGGAAUUACUGGGCGUAAAGCGCACGUAGGCGGUUUUGUAAGUUAGAGGUGAAAGCCCGAAGCUCAACUUCGGAAUUGCCUUUAAGACUGCAUGACUUGAACGACGGAGAGGUGAGUGGAAUUCCGAGUGUAGAGGUGAAAUUCGUAGAUAUUCGGAAGAACACCAGUGGCGAAGGCGGCUCACUGGACGACUGUUGACGCUGAGGUGCGAAAGCGUGGGGAGCAAACAGG
rnacentral:rRNA from 1 species